ACGCCCGGUUACAUUCCGAACCCGGAAGCUAAGCCCUCCAGCGCCGAUGGUACUGCACUCGGGAGGGUGUGGGAGAGUAGGACACCGCCGGAC
rnacentral:rRNA from 1 species